GUGCGUUAUUGGUUAAAUGACCACGUCCAGUCAGGAUCCUGUGGAGCUCAUGGGCCAUGACACCGCCCAGGACCUACUUCAGCACCUCAAAGAGAAUGGACCAAAUGUCAACUGGAAGUUUUUAUAUUAAUACAGUUUGAAAAGGAUUGUUUUCCUAGUAUAUUCACAAAAGCUCAGGAGUAGACAUGAACCUGUGCACAAACAUCCAUCACAUAGAGACAUGAGAACUCACACUCACUCACCCACACACACAUACAUUCUAUUAUGUAAAUGAAUUUGCAUUUUAAAAGCAGCUGGAAAUGUUAUUUGUUAUUUUAUGGAUUUUUUUGUUCAAAAGGAACUAUGUUGCAUGUAUUUUUUAAAUAUAUUUACUUAAUUUUAGAGACAUUUGUUCAUGGGACUUAAAUGUUCUGAAAAUGUAUUAAUAAAUAUAAUUUACAACAGCAA